rnacentral:misc_RNA from 1 species
GAUGAAGAACGUAGCGAAAUGCGAUACGUAAUGUGAAUUGCAAAUUCAGUGAAUCAUCGAGUCUUUGAACGCACAUUGCGCCCCCUGGUAUUCCGGGGGGCAUGCCUGUCCGAGCGUCAUUGCUGCCCUCAAGCACGGCUUGUGUGUUGGGCCCCGUCCUCCGAUUCCGGGGGACGGGCCCGAAAGGCAGCGGCGGCACCGCGUCCGGUCCUCGAGCGUAUGGGGCUUUGUCACCCGCUCUGUAGGCCCGGCCGGCGCUUGCCGAUCAACCCAAAUUUUUAUCCAGGUUGACCUUGGAUCAGGUAGGGAUACCCGCUGAACUUAAGCAUAUCAAUAAGCGGAGGA